AUGUAAUACAUCUAACUCUUUCACGUUGCUCUAAAGGCCUAAUUCCACGACGAGUGAAAUGCGAAAUAUUUCGCGCGAAAACACAGUUGUGCGAAAAUUUUCUCUCAAAGUGAUUUCCACUGCAGAGAAAAAAUUCGCCAAAACACAAGCAUUUGAUUGGUUUCGCUAUUUUGUCAUCCAAAACACAAGCAUUUGAUUGGUUUCGCUACGGAGUAGAAACGAAUUCAACUACCCGGCGUAGAGAAAUAUUUCGCAGAGAAACAUUC